rnacentral:rRNA from 1 species
GGACCCGCACAAGCGGUGGAGCAUGUGGUUUAAUUCGAAGCAACGCGAAGAACCUUACCAAAUCUUGACAUCCUUUGACAACUCUAGAGAUAGAGCUUUCCCCUUCGGGGGACAAAGUGACAGGUGGUGCAUGGUUGUCGUCAGCUCGUGUCGUGAGAUGUUGGGUUAAGUCCCGCAACGAGCGCAACCCUUAUCUUUAGUUGCCAUCAUUAGGUUGGGCACUCUAGAGAGACUGCCGGUGAUAAACCGGAGGAAGGUGGGG